GACGAACGCUGGCGGCGUGCCUAAUACAUGCAAGUCGAACGCAGUGGGGACGGUUGAGUAACACGUCGCUAACCUCGCAUCAGAGGGGAUAACACUUGGAAACAGGUGCUAAACCGAUACUGAUGUAUGGACCGGCGGUGCAUUAGCUAGUUGGUGGGGUAACGGCUCACCAAGGCCACGGUGCAUAGCCGGAAGGAGAUGAGGAACGGCCACACUGGCAAUGGGACACGGACUACAGUCCGACGGGAGACAGCAGAAGGGAAUCUUCGGCAAUGGACGAAAGUCGGAACGAGCAACGACGCGUGAGGGAAGAAGGUUUUCGGACCGUGGAACUUUGUAGUUAGAGAAGCGGUAGCUAACCAGAAAGCCACGGCUAACUACGUGCCAGCCGCCGCGGUAAUAA
rnacentral:rRNA from 1 species